rnacentral:rRNA from 1 species
GUGAGUAACACGUGGAUAACCUACCUAUAAGACUGGGAUAACUUCGGGAAACCGGAGCUAAUACCGGAUAAUAUUUUGAACCGCAUGGUUCAAAAGUGAAAGACGGUCUUGCUGUCACUUAUAGAUGGAUCCGCGCUGCAUUAGCUAGUUGGUAAGGUAACGGCUUACCAAGGCAACGAUGCAUAGCCGACCUGAGAGGGUGAUCGGCCACACUGGAACUGAGACACGGUCCAGACUCCUACGGGAGGCAGCAGUAGGGAAUCUUCCGCAAUGGGCGAAAGCCUGACGGAGCAACGCCGCGUGAGUGAUGAAGGUCUUCGGAUCGUAAAACUCUGUUAUUAGGGAAGAACAUAUGUGUAAGUAACUGUGCACAUCUUGACGGUACCUAAUCAGAAAGCCACGGCUAACUACGUGCCAGCAGCCGCGGUAAUACGUAGGUGGCAAGCGUUAUCCGGAAUUAUUGGGCGUAAAGCGCGCGUAGGCGGUUUUUUAAGUCUGAUGUGAAAGCCCACGGCUCAACCGUGGAGGGUCAUUGGAAACUGGAAAACU